CCCUGAACCUUCUUGUCUUUCAAAUUUAUGGCCUCUUUCUUUUUAAUUUUUAUUGUUAUGUGUAUGUGUAUUCCUAAUAUAUGAAGACAACUAGCCCAGUCUGUAUAAUGAUACUUGUAUGUAGAUUUUCUUCCUUUCAGGCUAAUGAUUGAAUGCUCUAUCUACAGGAGGUAUCACCAUUGCAGAGAGAUUGUCCCCACAACGUCUUUGCUAGUCAACUUGGGAGGUAAAGGUUUGGAGAUGAAAGUAAUCUUAGACAUCAUUCAAUUAAGCACCUCAGGAGAGAGGUGACUGAAUCAAGGACUUCUUAGAACUAUGCUAAAUUGAGUCCAGAAUAUUCUGAGUUUCCUGCCAUUGUUUCUUGUCUUUCUCCAUGGAUACUUAACGUCUUUUAUUGAUGUAUUUGGUUACUCUUUUCUUGCUGGCUGUCUUGUUGACUUGUUUUACAAAUGGGUUAUAUCUUUAGCUGCAUGCAAUGGCAGAGAGAAUUGUGAAUGAUACUUUGGAUUCAUUUUCUUCCAAAUUGCUCUCUGCUGCCCUCAACUGGUAGUUAGCCACCAAUGCAGACGCGCUAUCUGCCUUCAUGUUAACCCACAGCAUUUUUUUUUUGACUCCAGAGGAGAUAUGGGAAGAUUAUUAAUCAUAUUACAGAAGAUUUUUUUUUUUGCACAGGACAAAUGGAACCCAGGUUUUUUGUGUCCACCUCUUAUUCUCCAUUUCCUCACUCCGUACACAUUUGCUUAAGAUACACGAAGAAAAGUAUUUGGCUUUUCCCACUCUCAAAUAUUUGUAACAGAGUAUUUGGAAAGACUACUUAAUUAUCAAAUCGAGAUGCAUUUCAGCUGCUGUAAUAUCCAGCAGAUAUUUCUGUAAUUACCCAUAAGUGAGAUUAAGUAUUUUAUCUCUAAUGUUAUAAAGAAACAGAGAGUUAUAUAAGGACCAGGAAUAGUGGGUAAGUGUUCUCUUUGUUUUGACAAAUUUAUAUUGUGCAUAUGCUGUAUGUCAGACAGUACUGUAAGUGCUGAGCAUACAGCACUGGUAACAGGACACAAGAAACCCAUAUGCUUUCGCUUUUUCAUUUCAGUUUUUAUUAAACAUUACAUGGACACAGCGUGUUACAUAAUAUACCACAAAACCUUCCAGAAGGAGCCGGUGACCGUUAGUACUUUCUCAUCCUUCCAGAAAAUGUCUCCUUAAACUGUAUUCUCCAAGCCCUGGGACACAUAAUUAAUUGGAGGAGUUAAAAAAAUCAUACUUAAUAUGAAAAAUUUCAAAGGAGUCAAUUUAUUUGGAUCAACUCAUCCUUUCCUAAUGAGCUAAAAUUCAGGUUCAAUUGGAUAUAGUGCUGGGUACUUGUGAUUCCAUUUACUUUGGAGACAGAGGUAGAAGGAUCAUUUGGAGCACAAGACUUGGCAGCCAGUCUGAGGACGAUAACGAGUACCCAGCUUAAAACCAUGAAGUAUGAAGCAUCUUCCAGUCAAAAUCAAAUUUAUUCCCAGGAGCAAAUGAAAUGUAAGUGAUGGAAGUGUAUAAAUAGAAAAUGUAAGAUUCUAAUUUUGUUUAUGAAUUUGGUUUUUGUUGGGAUUCACACAAAUCUUUGAAAAGAUUAGAACAUUAACUGUCAUUGGCUUUUUACCUUGAUUUUAAUUUCUCAUAUAUUCUUCAAGUAUACUGCCUUGUGUGAUUAUAUUAUUCCUUAAGUAUUCAAGAUGAAA